rnacentral:rRNA from 3 species
ACGGGUGAGUAAUGCCUAGGAAUCUGCCUGGUAGUGGGGGACAACGUUUCGAAAGGAACGCUAAUACCGCAUACGUCCUACGGGAGAAAGCAGGGGACCUUCGGGCCUUGCGCUAUCAGAUGAGCCUAGGUCGGAUUAGCUAGUUGGUGAGGUAAUGGCUCACCAAGGCGACGAUCCGUAACUGGUCUGAGAGGAUGAUCAGUCACACUGGAACUGAGACACGGUCCAGACUCCUACGGGAGGCAGCAGUGGGGAAUAUUGGACAAUGGGCGAAAGCCUGAUCCAGCCAUGCCGCGUGUGUGAAGAAGGUCUUCGGAUUGUAAAGCACUUUAAGUUGGGAGGAAGGGUUGUAGAUUAAUACUCUGCAAUUUUGACGUUACCGACAGAAUAAGCACCGGCUAACUCUGUGCCAGCAGCCGCGGUAAUACAGAGGGUGCAAGCGUUAAUCGGAAUUACUGGGCGUAAAGCGCGCGUAGGUGGUUUGUUAAGUUGGAUGUGAAAUCCCCGGGCUCAACCUGGGAACUGCAUCCAAAACUGGCAAGCUAGAGUAUGGUAGAGGGGUGGUGGAAUUUCCUGUGUAGCGGUG